CAGUAGCCGCGGUAAUACGAAGGGGGCUAGCGUUGUUCGGAAUCACUGGGCGUAAAGCGCACGUAGGCGGCUUUGUAAGUCAGAGGUGAAAGCCUGGAGCUCAACUCCAGAACUGCCUUUGAGACUGCAUCGCUCGAAUCCGGGAGAGGUGAGUGGAAUUCCGAGUGUAGAGGUGAAAUUCGUAGAUAUUCGGAAGAACACCAGUGGCGAAGGCGGCUCACUGGCCCGGUACUGACGCUGAGGCGCGAAAGCGUGGGGAGCAAACAGGAUUAGAUACCCGGGUAGUCCCUGUCUCUUAUAC
rnacentral:rRNA from 1 species